UCCCGUGUGGCUCAGGUGGUAGAGCAUGGUGCUUGCAACGCAAGGGUUGUGGGUUCGAUUCCUAUGUGGGAC
rnacentral:tRNA from 1 species